UACGUAGGGGGCAAGCGUUGUCCGGAAUCAUUGGGCGUAAAGAGCGUGUAGGCGGCCUGGUAAGUCCGCUGUGAAAGUCCAGGGCUCAACCCUGGAAUGCCGGUGGAAACUGUCAGGCUCGAGUCCGGAAGAGGCGAGUGGAAUUCCUGGUGUAGCGGUGAAAUGCGUAGAUAUCGGGAGGAACACCUGUGGCGAAAGCGGCUCACUGGACCACAACUGACGCUGAGGCGCGAAAGCUAGGGGAGCAACAGG
rnacentral:rRNA from 1 species